ensembl:lncRNA CELF2-AS2 CELF2 antisense RNA 2
UCUUUGUAAUUAGAUUUAGUGAUUAGCGAUUAUCUUUUCCUUGGCAAUGCAGUUUCCCUUCUACAGAAAUGAGCUUAAGUCAACACUACAGUUGCCACUAAGUGUAAGGAUUCGUGAAGGGGAAAACGACGGACUCCCUUCCCUCUGUUCUUCUCAAGUAAUGCAAAUUAGAGCUAAUCAUUACACACCAAGGGGCUGUUUCACACACACUAUCUGAAGGACAACAAAUUCUGACCAUUUUGCUCGAAGGCAGCUUCUUUCUCCAUCUACAAGAGGUAUCUUGAAGUCAAUAGAUUGUUUCCUACCAUGGAUGAAGCAAGCAGGCCAUAAAGCAUGGCUUACUCACAGACAGCAUGGACUUCAUGCCAAGAGCUCAAAGAAUGUGGUUUUCAACUUAAAUUUGGAAAUGUGAAACACUGACUCCAGAGAUCUGUAAUCUGAAAAUCAUAGCAUUUUUAGAACUGGAAGGGAUCUCAGAGCUCAUCUAAGUAAUCUCCUCAUUUUACAGAUCAGAGACUUGAGAGCCACAGAAGAGGAGUGAUUUACAUAGUUACUCUCUAUUCAGAGCAAAGUAGGAUCUGGAGCCAUUUUUAUGUCUCCUAAGGACUCAGUUACUGCCCUGCAGGGCCACCUAGCACAGUGCCUCACCCAGGCCAGCCAUCAGUACGUUUCUGUUGAACAGCUGAGUGAUCUGGAAAUAUAGAACAACUAGCGGGAAGAGAGUUUGGAGAUAGAUAUCAGCACCUGGGCAGGUCAUACAGCUCAUCCUUAUCACUGCAACGAAACAAAGUUCAACCGUUGGCUGCAACUGAGUGGACUCUCUUUAGGAUCCUCUGUUGGAAGGAGCUAGAAGCAGGAUACCAUUUUUUUUUCCUAUGUUUUCUUGGAGUUUUAACAGAUUUGGAUUCUGAAAGAGUCCCUGGAGGUAAAGCAGAGAUGGGCCUGUGUGAGCGUGGACAGGGGGUGUCACCU